GGCCGCCUAGCUCAGUUGGUUAGAGCGUCGUGCUAAUAUGCGGAUCUCACCUCUCCUAACAUAUCACGCGAAGGUCUUGGGUUCGAUCCCCACGUUGGCCA